rnacentral:rRNA from 1 species
AACCAACCUUGAUUCUCGAGUGAAGGGCUUGAGUAAGAGCAUAAUUGGUAGGACCCGAAAGAUGGUGAACUACGGUUGAGUAGGGGUGAAGCCAGGGGAAACUCUGGUGGAGGCUCGAAGAGUUACUGACGUGCAAAUCGUUCUUCAAACUUGACUGUAGGGGCGAAAGACUAAUCGAACCAUCUAGUAGCUGGUUCCCUCUGAAAUUUCUCUCAGGAUAGCAGGAACAGAUUAUACAGUUUUAUCAGGUAAAGCUAAUGAUUAGUGGACUCGGGGGUCUGAGACUCUCGACCAAUUCUCAAACUUUAAAUUGGUAAGAACCUUUAGUUAUCUUAAUUGAACUGAAGGGAUGAAUGUAUUGUUCUUAGUGGGCCAUUUUUGGUAAGCAGAACUGGCGAUGAGGGAUGAACCUAACGUUGAGAUAAGGUGCCCAAAUUCACGC